GUGCUUGCUUUGGCAGCACACGCACUAAAACUGGAACAGUACAGAGAAGAUUAGCAUGGCCCCUGCACAAGGAUAACAAGCAAACUUGUGAAGCAUUCCAUAUUUUA